rnacentral:rRNA from 1 species
GACGAACGCUGGCGGCGUGCCUAAUACAUGCAGGUAGAACGCACAGUUUAUACCGUAGCUUGCUACACCAUAGACUGUGAGUUGCGAACGGGUGAGUAACGCGUAGGUAACCUGCCUGGUAGCGGGGGAUAACUAUUGGAAACGAUAGCUAAUACCGCAUAAUAUUGAUUAUUGCAUGAUAAUUAAUUGAAAGGUGCAAUUGCACCACUACCAGAUGGACCUGCGUUGUAUUAGCUAGUAGGUGAGGUAACGGCUCACCUAGGCGACGAUACAUAGCCGACCUGAGAGGGUGAUCGGCCACACUGGGACUGAGACACGGCCCAGACUCCUACGGGAGGCAGCAGUAGGGAAUCUUCGGCAAUGGACGAAAGUCUGACCGAGCAACGCCGCGUGAGUGAAGAAGGUUUUCGGAUCGUAAAGCUCUGUUGUAAGAGAAGAACGGGUGUGAGAGUGGAAAGUUCACACUGUGACGGUAUCUUACCAGAAAGGGACGGCUAACUACGUG